rnacentral:rRNA from 1 species
GAUGAACGCUGGCGGCGUGCCUAAUACAUGCAAGUAGAACGCUGAAGGAGGAGCUUGCUCUUUCCGGAUGAGUUGCGAACGGGUGAGUAACGCGUAGGUAACCUGCCUGGUAGCGGGGGAUAACUAUUGGAAACGAUAGCUAAUACCGCAUAACAGUAGAUAUUGCAUGAUAUUUGCUUGAAAGGGGCAAUUGCUCCACUACCAGAUGGACCUGCGUUGUAUUAGCUAGUUGGUGAGGUAACGGCUCACCAAGGCGACGAUACAUAGCCGACCUGAGAGGGUGAUCGGCCACACUGGGACUGAGACACGGCCCAGACUCCUACGGGAGGCAGCAGUAGGGAAUCUUCGGCAAUGGACGGAAGUCUGACCGAGCAACGCCGCGUGAGUGAAGAAGGUUUUCGGAUCGUAAAGCUCUGUUGUAAGAGAAGAACGAGUGUGAGAGUGGAAAGUUCACACUGUGACGGUAUCUUACCAGAAAGGGACGGCUAACUACGUG